rnacentral:ncRNA from 1 species
UGUGGUGAAUCCCCCUAAGCGGUGGGGCGACUAGUCAGAGCAGGUGAAUGACGCGGCUCUGUGGUCUGGCGCAGAGUCACCGGGAGGCACCCGGCACCAUG